rnacentral:tRNA from 1 species
GGAGGUAUGGCUCAAGUGGUAGAGCACCAGCCUUGAACAGAAAAAAAAAAAUCAAGCUGAGCAAGACUUUGAGGCCUUGAGUUCAAACCCAGUACCACCU